GAUGCAGGUUUACCAAGAAGAAGCCCUAGGUUAGUGAAAGAUGAGUAAAGAAGUGCUUGUAUCCAAGAAAAAAGAUUUUGUACGUUGAUGCGACACAUUCAUUAGACAGUCCUACAAUGAGACAGAGACCCGCAUUACUAGGAUGGACAGCGAUUUGUUGAAGACGAGGGAGUACGAGGAUAUCGAGAAAGGGGGAUUCGGUGAUUUUGAGAUCAGCCAAUCUUUUCAUGGUCCGAUGAAUUUGUUUUUCCAUGACGCUCAUGUAGACCAAUUUGCAAAUGGCCGCCCGCUGAUUGAUCUUGAUGCAGUUCUUCCCGACACCUAGCCAACUGAUGUUGAGGUUUUCUUUGCCAUUGUGGAAGCUGAACACUUUUACCUCUUGCGUUUUAACUUGAAGAGAGUGGCAUUUGUUGUAAUAGACAACAUGUCUGUUGACAUUUCAUCUGAAACCAAGUAUAGUGUUACUCCUUCAAUAUUGGUGAGUACCUAUCUAUUUAUAAGAACAUGAAUUUCUCGUAUUAGAUAGCUCAUGGUAACUUCUUUUUAUCUUUAAAUUGAUAAUCUAUUGUUCAUAUUAUGUUCAUACAUAUGAUCCAAUG